CUCGCGAGAUCUGGCCUCCUCCUGGGGACCGCGGGAGGUGUUUGUGCCCCUUGGGCUCCGGGGGGCCGCGCUACCGUCUUUCUUAAGUCUACGGAGAUUUUUUUUUUUUUGCUAGUCAACCGAAAGUUAGUAUGAAAUUGCUCGGCCUUGGCUUACACGGCCCUGGGAGCUUUCAAGUUUGAUUUUAACGUGUUAGGCUCUUAUUAAAAGUUGAAGUCGCUAAGUUUGCGAAGCUCACAGUGUGCUCCGUGGGGUGCCUGGCCGCAGAGAUCCGGGAUGGUUUUUGAGGGGCGCCUCCUAACCGGAUACGCUUACCUAGGUGAAAAGUUCUCCACCGCGGCCACUGUAGCUCAGGAAUAUCCUUGAUGAGUUUAACCUGCCUGUUCAGCCUGAAAACAAACUUUGAUUCACCUGAGGCUCCACACGGGACCCAGUCCAGCUCAAGUCAGUCCCAGUCCGACCCCAGACCCAGUCUGGUUUCUAAGUCGGACCCAGCCUGACUCCGACCAGUUUCUGGACCCAGUCUGGAAAAAGAAAUGCUCCAAGUCUGAAAGUUCAUGACGCUAAAUAAAGCUCAGAUCUAGGAUUGAUAUUUUAGCUGUAUGGAAAUUGCAGUGCCUCCUACCAUAUCGAACAGAUCCAAGAUUAUUUACAGAUAUGAGCCAACAAACAACAGUAGAUAUUGAACGUUAUUCCGACAGUGACUUCAUUUCCUUCACGUGAGGGCGGAAAGUGGUGGCAUCUUAGGCCUCUCACUGCUGUGGCCCCUCCCGUUGCAGAGCACAGGCUCCGGAUGCGCAGGCUCAGCGGCCACGGCUCACAGGCCCAGCAGCUCCGCAGCAUGUGGGAUCGUCCCGGACCAGGGCACGAACCCGUGUCCCCUGCAUCGGCAGGCGGACUCUCAACCACUGUGCCACCAGGGAAGCCCUCUAGGUACUUUUUGAUUUCCUCUUUGAUUUUUUUUAGUGAUCUCUUGGUUAUUUACUAGUGUAUUGUUUAUCCUCCAUGUGUUUGUAUGUUUUAUGUUUUUUUUUCCUGUAAUUGAUAUCUAGUCUUAUAGCGUUGUGGUUGGAAAGGAUAUGUGAUAUGAUUUCAGUUUGUUUAAAUUUACCAAGGCUUGAUCUGUGACCCAAGUUGUGAUCUGUCCUGGAGAAUGUUCCAUGGGCACUUGAGAAGAAAGAGUAUUCUGUUGUUUUUGGAUGGAAUGUCCUAUAAAUAUCAACUAAGUCCAUCUUGUUUAAUGUGUCAUUUAAAGCUUGUGUUUCCUUAUUUAUCUUCAUUUUUGAUGAUCUGUCCCAUGCUGAAAGUGGGUUGUUAAAGUCCCCUACUAUUACUGUGUUACUGUCAAUUUCCCCUUUUACGACUGUUAGCAUUUGCCUUAUGUAUUGAAGUGCUCCUGUGUUGGGUGCAUAAAUAUUUACAAUUGUUAUAUCUUCUUGGAUUGAUCCCUUGAUCAUUAUGUAGUGUCCUUCUUUGUCUCUUGUAAUAGUCUUUAUUUUAAAGUCUAUUUUAUGUGAUAUGAGAAUUGCUACUCCAGCUUUCUUUUGAUUUCUAUUUGCAUGGAAUAUCUUUUUCCAUCCCCUCACUUUCAGGCUGUAUGUAUCCCUAGGUCUGAAGCAGGUGCCUUUUAGAUAGCAUAUAUACAGGUGUUGUUUGUAUCCAUUCAGCCAGUCUGUGUCUUUUUUGGGAACAUUUAAUCUAUUUAUAUUUAAGGUGAUUAUUGAUGUGUAUGUUCCUAUUACCAUUUUCUUAACUGUUUGGGGUUUGUUAUUGUAUGUCUUUUCCUUCUCUUGUGUUUCCUACCUAGAGAAGUUCCUUUAGCAUUUGUUGUAACUGGUUUGGUGGUGCUGAAUUCUCUUAGCUUUCGCUUGUCUGUAAAGGUUUUAAUUUCUCUGUCGAAUCUGAAUGAGAUCCUUGCUGGUUAGGUUAAUCUUGGUUUUAGGUUUUUCCCUUUCAUCACUUUAAAUAUGUCCCACCACUCCCUUCUGGCUUGUAGAGUUUGUCCUGAAAGAUCAGCUGUUAACCUUAUGGGGAUUCCCUUGCAUGUUAUUUGUUGCUUUUCCCUUGCUGCUUUUAAUAUUUUUUCUUUGUAUUUAAUUUUUGAUAGCUUGAUUAAUAUGUGUCACAGCAUGUUUCUCCUUGGUUUAUCCUGUGUGGGACUCUGCACCUCCUCGACUUGAUUGACUGUUUCCUUUCCCAACUUAGGGAAGUUUUCAACUGUAAUCUCUUCAAAUAUUUUCUCAGUACCUUUCUUUUUCUCUUCCUCUGGGACCCCUAUGAUUCGAAUGUUGGUGCAUUUAAUGUUGUCCCAGAGUUCUCUGAGACUGUCCUCAAUUCUUUUCAUUCUUUAUUCUGCUCUGUGGUAGUUAUUUCCACUAUUUUGUCUUCCAGGUCACUUAUCCGUUCUUCUCAGUUUUUCUGCUGUUGAUUCCUUCUGGAGUAUUUUUAAUUUCACUUAUUGUGUUGUUCAUCAUUGUUUGUUUGCUCUUUAUCUCUUCUAGGUCCUUGUUAAACGUUUCUUGUAUUUUCUCCAUUCUUUUUCCAAGAUUUGGGAUCAUAUUUACUAUCACUGCUCUGAAUUCUUCUUCAGGUAGACUGCCUAUUUCCUCUUCAUUGGUUUGGUUUGGUGGGUUUUUCCUUUUCUCCUUUAUCACUGUGUAUUUCUCUGUUUUCUCAUUUUGUUUAACUUACUGUGUUUGGGGUCUCCUUUUCUCAGGCUGCAGGUUUGCAGUUCCCUUUGUUUUUGGUGUCUGCCCCCAGUGGGUAAGGUUGGUUCAGUGGUUUGUGUAGGCUUCCUGGUGGAGGGGACUGGUGCCUGUGUUCUGGUGGAUGAGGCUGGAUCUUGUCUUUUUGGUGGGCAGUAGCACAUCUGGUGGCGUGUUUUGGGGUGUUUGUGAAUUUAUGAUGAUUUUAGGCAGCCUCUCUGCUAAUGGGUGGGGUUGUGUUCCUGCCUUGCUAGUUGUUUGGCAUGGGGUGUCCAGCACUGGAGCUUGCCAGUCUUUGAGUGGAGAUGUGUCUUAGCGUUGAGAUGGGGAUCUCCGGGUGAGUUCUCGCCGAUUGAUAUUACGUGAGGUCAGGAGGUCUCUGGUGGUCCAGUAUCCUGAACUUGGCUCUCCCACCUCAGAGGCUCAGGCCUGACACCUGGCCGGAGCACCAAGGUCCUGUCAGCCUCACAGCUGAAUUUGCAUUGCUUCAGUUGGUGAGUUUUUCGUCUGCUUCCCCCGGUUCUCUGUUUCUUGUCACCACUACCUUCUGUGUUUCUCCUAGCACCGUUUGGACUAUCUGUGGGAUAAAGUAAAAGGUACUUUCCCCCUGGGGUGCAAGUAUAGUUGUGGUAGGAGUUGGGGGUGAGGUUGUGUAUCUGUUUCCCUUCACACUAAGACUUUUCUUUCACAGUUUUUGCUAGUCUCUUCCCAGCCUCCCUAACUAACUUAAAGGGGAAAUAGAUCACAGUCAAAUUAGCCCUAACGGCUUCUAAUGCAUUUUCUAGAGCUUUUCUGAGUUGGGAUCCAAUGCAGUAAGAGGAGCAGCCAGUACAGCCACUUUGGAGGACAAUUUGGAUGUUUCUUACGAAAGUAAAUAUAUCCUUAACCACACGAUCUAGCAGCUGUACUCCUGUUAUUUGCCUGAAGGAGUCAAAAAGGUGUGUGUACACAAAAAACUGCACAUGGAUGUCUAUAGGAGCUUUAUCCAUAGUUGUCAAAACUUGGACACAAACAAGAUGCCCUUCAGUAGGCAAAUGAAUAAUUAAACUGUGGGACAGCCAGACAAUUAAAUAUUAUUCAGCAUAAAAAUAAGUGAGCUUUCAAGCCAUAAAAAGCCAUGGAAGAACCUUAAAUGCAUGUCACUAAGUGAACGAAGUUAAUCUGAACAAAACUACACGCUAUAGGCUUCCAACUAGAUUACAUUCUUCAAAAGGCAAAAUUAUGGACAUGGUGAAAGAAACAGUGGUUGCCAGGGGUUAGGAGGGCAGGAUGAGUGAAUAGGUGGAGCACAGAGCAGAGAAGUUACUCUGUAUGAUGAUGUGGUGGUAGAUAUGGGUCAUUAUAGAGUGGUUGAAACCCUUAGAAGGUACCACACCAAAAGGCAAUACUAAUGUGAACUAUGGACUUGGUGUGACAGUGAUGUGUCAGUGUAAGUGUGUGGAUGGUAACACAUGUUCCCCUGUGGUGGGGAUGUUGAUAGUGCAGGAGGUUGUGAGUGUGUGUAGGCAGAGUUUACUGAGAAUUCUCUGUAUUUUCUGCUCAAUUUUGCUCUAAGCCUAAAACUUCU
ensembl:lncRNA